rnacentral:rRNA from 1 species
AUGGGCGCAGCCUGAUGCAGCCAUGCCGCGUGUGUGAAGAAGGCCUUCGGGUUGUAAAGCACUUUCAGCGAGGAGGAAAGGUCAGUAGCUAAUAUCUGCUGGCUGUGACGUUACUCGCAGAAGAAGCACCGGCUAACUCCGUGCCAGCAGCCGCGGUAAUACGGAGGGUGCAAGCGUUAAUCGGAAUUACUGGGCGUAAAGCGCACGCAGGCGGUUGGAUAAGUUAGAUGUGAAAUCCCCGGGCUCAGCCUGGCAAUUGCAUUUAAAACUGUCAAGCUUGAGGCUUGUCG